rnacentral:sRNA from 2 species
AACACCUUUCUGGCCCACGGAAUCGUUCGAAGUAACUAAGAAAUGACCCGAGGCCAGGAGAGCCUCCGACAAGGUUUCAACCAUAUCUUCCCGUAAAUUGAAUUCUGUUGCAUUCUCGAAUCGCUGGCGCAAAAGACGGGAAAAGCGGAAAAGCUUUCGCUGCCGAACCCGCACCGAAUCAAAAAUUUGCUUGUAACGUUUCUCUGUCUCGACAGCAUCUUCUUCCGGUCUACUAUGUAACUCCCGCUCAAAGUGGAUCAUCAAUCGUUGUAGGGAUUUAGCUGUUAAAGUACUACGGGAAAAUUAGCGAUGAGAUCUCCAUAUCCGCUUCCUACUAGGGAUCCAAAGAAUACUUCAGUCCAUCAACGACAAUGUUAUCAAAGUUCUCAUCAACGCAUGGUGGAAGAUCCCAACCAGGUUCGGGAUCAGAGAUAACGAGGUAACGUUGUUUAAUAUCUACGGCAACCUUCAGCAAUAUUUGGAACUGUACGAUCAUUUGGUCAACUAAGAUGGGAGAUUGCAAUGCGGGGUCCUUCAUUUUUCGAGCAUAGGAAAGCCGCAGUCGGAUGACCUCCUGAAUAAGUCGCGAAGGGAAGUUUAUCAGCGUCAACAGCUCCUCGAUGUAGGGUGGUAAAUGGCGUUUUGCAAAUGCUUCAGCGUUCUCAAUUAAGGUAAUUUUCGCCUUUUUAAUGACACCACCAAUACCG